GACGAACGCUGGCGGCGUGCUUAACACAUGCAAGUCGAACGGAAAGGCCUCUUUCGGGGGGUACUCGAGUGGCGAACGGGUGAGUAACACGUGAGUAACCUGCCCUUGACUUUGGGAUAACUUCAGGAAACUGGGGCUAAUACCGGAUAGGAGCUCCUGCUGCAUGGUGGGGGUUGGAAAGUUUCGGCGGUUGGGGAUGGACUCGCGGCUUAUCAGCUUGUUGGUGGGGUAGUGGCUUACCAAGGCUUUGACGGGUAGCCGGCCUGAGAGGGUGACCGGCCACAUUGGGGCUGAGAUACGGCCCAGACUCCUACGGGAGGCAGCAGUGGGGAAUAUUGCACAAUGGGUGGAAGCCUGAUGCAGCAACGCCGUGUGCGGGAUGACGGCCUUCGGGUUGUAAACCGCUUUCGCUCAUGACGAAGCUUUGUGUGACGGUAGUGGGUAAAGAAGCACCGGCUAACUACGUG
rnacentral:rRNA from 1 species